AGAACACUGCAGAUGGGCCAGAAUAGAAGGGGAGAAUCUGUGUGGAUGUGAAUGAGAAUCUGCUGUAUGGAUGAAGGGCAAAGAACGCAAAACCACCCUCUCUACUGCAGGUCCAACACUGCCCUUCCCCACGUGCCGAGGGUUUGAGAUGCUGCUUGUCCCAGUACGUGACUCCUCAUGACCCCGAAGUGCUGGGAGCGUGUGCACAGACAGCCCUGCCUGCACCGCCUUCCCGCAGGGCUCCCUGUCACCAUUGUCCCCAUCGCCCUCGCUCCUUCCACCGCUGCGGAAAUUGGCAGUCGGUUAUCGGUAAAUGCACCCGGUUCCUCUCCAGCUGUGCCAGGUGUGAAGGCCCGACCUGGCCGCCCACUUAAAGCCGUGUGAGCUCAGUCCCCGCUAGGGACCGGCCCUCCCGAGCCCGCAUGUCUGAUCUCAGCUCCCACUUUAUUUUAGGGAAAGCACUGAUGGCUACGGCCGCAGGAAUUCCGGGAGGUGGGAAUUCCGGAGCGUUCUGCCCUCCACACCCGGCGCUGGGACACGCCAAGGAGAUGGGGAGGGGCAUGACCCCCUCGGUGGGCUCUGCAUGGAGGCGGAUUUUCUAUUCACCCGCACAGGGCAAAGGGCUGCGGGCUGGGGACACGGGGCACGACACGGGGAGCGAGCAGGGACAGCGCAGCCAGGCUGGGCCCGUCCGUCCGUCCGUCCGUCCGUCCGUCCCGCUGGCGUUGCCAGUUCUGGGAAGCCUUCAGUGAUGUAUGGUUGAACGGCUCUGAUCCGACGCUGGCCAAGGAGGGAUUUAGUGGUCCUGGCUCCUUCCAUCUCAUUCACAUUGUCCUUCUCAAGGACAGCUGAACAUCUGCUGCCCAUAGGUAACUCCAGGCCGCCGCUCCCCGCCUGGGUGUGAAACCUCUGCCUGCCUCCAUCCCCGGCUCUGACCUGCCCUCGGAGCUCUCAAGUGAUUGUUUUCAUCCUGCUCCCGCUGUCUGGGGCUUUCCAAGUGUUGAUUAAAAGGUACCAUCGCUGCAAAAUGUGCUGUCCCUGAGUGGCUGUAGCUUUCAGCAAGGGAGAUUCAGUGUUUACUGGAACGGUCAGCACCGAGUCCCUGCCAGAUGUCAGCCCUGACCCCCAGCAGUUUCGGCAGCAGAUCCGAAACUGGAAGAUUGUUUUGUAUUCUUGAAAGCGAGGGAAAAAAGCAGGGCAUGUUUAUCGUGGAGAUAUUACUUUCCACUGCCUGUGUGCUCUGUGAUGGCCAAAGUGUGUUCAAAGAGACUCUCAAACCUCCUUUGUGCAGGGAGUGGGGCUGGAAAAUCUCAGCCCAGGGGGGGAAAACCGAAGCAAAUCGUGGGCAACAGAGAUGUAACUGGUUACACUCAGCCAGAACAUGAACUUUAGACACUGCCUGUGCUCCAGUUUGUGUCUGCAGCACCGAGGGGCCCUGAGGAAAAGGCGGUGGAGCUCUGUUUUCUCACAGCCAGAUCCUUGUGGUGCUGAAGGGAACACAGAGCAGGCAGGGCUGAGCUGCCUCCCUCCCCUCCCAGUGCACCCUGCAAAUGCCAGGUGAUGGCUCCCAGAGCCCUGAUAAUUCUGACCAUGACUCAGAGAACAAAAAUCAAGAGCAGAGCCUCAAAUUAAGAAUUAUUAAAAAAAAAAAAAAAAAAGCAGCUCUUAUUGGGUACAUUUUUUUGUGUUCUGCUUUUCAAGCCAUAAGGUUUAUGCCUCUGGC
ensembl:lncRNA